rnacentral:rRNA from 1 species
AGAGUUGAUCCUGGCUCAGGAUGAACGCUAGCGACAGGCUAACACAUGCAAGUCGAGGGGCAGCACGGGAGUAGCAAUACAACUGGUGGCGACCGGCGCACGGGUGAGUAACGCGUAUGCAACCUACCUAUCAGAGGGGAAUAACCCGGCGAAAGUCGGACUAAUACCGCAUAAAACAGGGGCACCGCAUGGUGAUAUUUGUUAAAGAAAUUCGCUGAUAGAUGGGCAUGCGUUCCAUUAGGUAGUUGGUGAGGUAACGGCUCACCAAGCCGACGAUGGAUAGGGGAACUGAGAGGUUGGUCCCCCACACUGGUACUGAGACACGGACCAGACUCCUACGGGAGGCAGCAGUGAGGAAUAUUGGUCAAUGGGCGAGAGCCUGAACCAGCCAAGUCGCGUGAAGGAAGAAGGAUCUAUGGUUCGUAAACUUCUUUUGCAGGGGAAUAAAGUGCGGGACGUGUCCUGUUUUGUAUGUACCCUGAGAAUAAGGAUCGGCUAACUCCGUGCCAGCCGCCGC